GAGGAAUUCCUCAGCCGGUGAGCAGAGGGAGGGAUUAGAAGAGAGGGAGGGGAGGACAGAGAGAGUCUAGAGAAGGGGGUAGCAAGGGUUGGAUGGAGGGGGGGCAGGACUAGGGAGGAGGCGAGCGGGUAGCCGCGGUCCACACCCGCGAGAGUCCACCCACCUCGAACUGGACGCCCCUACCUAGCGCGGCUCGAGUGGUGGCUCGUCCAAGAGUUCGCCCUGUAAGGUACCCUCUGUAUAUACAGUUGAUUCGACUAGUGAAGCUGUACGGAAGUCGAAAAUUCCGCAAUACUAGUGUUUGGUCUUUCAGUCUCUCCAGGUAACGAACUACUCCUACCCGGUAGCAUACAAGCACAAAAAAACUUAUAAAACGCUUCGUAGAGGUUCCUUCUCUGACACCUUAUACACGAACGGGAGUAACUACUCUACGAACGUCGCUUAGGAUUUGCUCGUCGUGACAAGAUGCUGUUUAGAGAGAGACCACUUCUGUAAAUGCUAGGAAAGGAUUCCAACGAGAACUUUCCAUUGACCAAACAUGUCCUCUUCUCGACAUUCUAUAAUUGAGUGAAUUAUUCACGCUCUGGAUUCGAAGUCUUGCCGUGCCAAGGUUUACCUCUCCGAAGUUUAAGUUUCUCGUUCGAAUGUAGUUAAGUACUACACAAUUUCCCGAACCAACUAACCGAGACAAGAGUCGAGUCCUCGGGGUGGGUGGGCUUGACAAGAUAAGGAUGACGAUGGGUAACAGAACGGUGAAACGACUUCCUCUGUAUACAAGCUUGGAAUAAACAAGUCCGUCUACCACAUUUUGACGAGUAAGGAAAUUAUAGAGGUCGGAGUUGUGUCGUCAGUUAAGUCGAGGAGAUGCUUUGAACGGAAACAUAGACCGAAAAUAGGAAGAUACUACGUCGGCAACUAAUAAACAGGUGAUGUUCCCAAUACGGUUCUGAACAUCUACAACAGUUUCCGAGAUGAUUUCUCUUCCAACAGUCUCAACAACACUACAGGAAGGCGUUAAACAACCGUUUCCCACGUAAACGACGGGUUUACUAACUAGAACCCAACGGCGUAUAUCAUGUCUUAAACUUUCGAGUUCGUACCUCACUACUCCUAAACAAUCUACGUAACUUAGUUGACCUUCACCCAGAGUUUCUCUUGGAAUUCUCCAACUCGAGUAAACUAUUCAUGUUUGUCGUUCACGAAGAACCGGUAGAACUAACCAGAGGUUACGUGUUUCUGGGUUUAAAGACCGCUCUUUUAUAGUGAUUGAAACUCCUUUUACUAAAGGUCUAGGAUGCACAGGAAUACUGUCAGUAGCUGUGUAGUUGGCUGUGGUGACGAGAACGCCAACGGACGAUACUGGAGAGUGUCAAGGAAGUCAUGGUGGGAAGACCGGCGAAUCACCACCGUCUGGAGUUCCGCUUCCUGGCUCAGUACUUUGAGUACUUGGUGCUGUUACGGCUUCAAUCCUUCUUGAGCGACGAGACGCACGUCUCCGAGAAGGAACCACGGUUCAUACGAUCGAAGGACGUCCAAAUUCUGGUUCUUCAAACAUAAAUAUACUUCACAAUCUAGGUGGCUUGGGGUACGGUAAAAAAGUCUUACCGCUUUGUCGCUAACUCUUAGAUACCGAACGAGCUACAUUAUUUUACAGGUACCCGUCAUAAAGAGAGGAGACUUGUCACAACAGGCUCCUUUCUUUCAUUUGUGCUAAAUACAUUUACAUAUGAAAUACCCCUGACUAACCGUCGAACAGAAGCCCGAAAGCACACUAAAAGGACAAUAGGAAGUACUCUUCUUCACUUAAGC
rnacentral:rRNA from 1 species